rnacentral:rRNA from 1 species
AUACGUAGGUGACAAGCGUUAUCCGGAUUUACUGGGCGUAAAGGGCGUGUAGGCGGUCUUGCAAGUCAGAAGUGAAAUUCCUGAGCUCAACUCGGGCGCUGCUUCUGAAACUGCAGGACUUGAGUGCUGGAGGGGAUAGCGGAAUUCCUAGUGGAGCGGUAAAAUGCGCAGAUAUUUGGUAGAACACCGGGGGCGAAGGCGGUUAUUUGGACAGAACCUGUCGCUGUGUCGCGAAAGCGUGGGGAGAAAACUGUAGUUCAUACCCUUGUCGUCCACGCCGUAAACGAUGAAUACUAGGUGUAGGUGGUAUCGACUCCCUCUGUGCCGCAGUUAACACAAUAAGUAUUCCGCCUGGGGAGCACGGUCUCAAGGUUGAGACUCACAGGAAUUGACGGGG